UACGUAGGGUGCGAGCGUUAAUCGGAAUUACUGGGCGUAAAGGGUGCGUAGGCGGGUCUUUAAGUCAGGGGUGAAAUCCUGGAGCUCAACUCCAGAACUGCCUUUGAUACUGAAGAUCUUGAGUUCGGAAGAGGUGAGUGGAAUUGCGAGUGUAGAGGUGAAAUUCGUAGAUAUUCGCAGGAACACCAGUGGCGAAGGCGGCUCACUGGUCCGAUACUGACGCUGAGGUGCGAAAGCGUGGGGAGCAAACAGG
rnacentral:rRNA from 1 species